rnacentral:sRNA from 1 species
CUCUAUGAUUAUAUGAACUCUUUAAAAGAGUUAUUGAAAAUCAAAGCUGAUAUUAUAUAUCCAGGACAUGGCCCAGUAAUUCAUAAUGCUGAAGCUAAAAUUCAACAAUACAUUUCUCACAGAAAUAUUCGAGAGCAGCAAAUUCUUACAUUAUUUCGUGAGAAUUUUGAGAAAUCAUUUACAGUAAUGGAGCUUGUAAAAAUUAUUUACAAGGUAAUUUUCAGUUUUCUUAUUUGUAUGUAGCCACAAAUUUAUUAGAAUUAUCUAUUUAGUAGACUAUAGAAAUGAUAAACUUAUAUCCCAGAUCAGAAGUUAUGCCACUUUUCUAGAUUUGAGACCAGCAGCCUAAACUUUCUACAGUGCUAAAAUUAAACAAAAACUGGCCUUAGAGAACAAAGAUAGCCAUUUCGAGCCAUCAUUGAACUUUAUAUACUUAACUAUGUAGGAGAAACUGCCUAUGUAGGAGAAACUAUCAACAGCCUGAUGAUUACAUUUUGUAAUAAUUUUUGCAUUAUUCUAGCCAUCUUGAUUAUCUUGU